UUUUUCUCCUGUGCUUCAUUGUCAUCACACUUUCAGAUAUUCCAGUGUUGCCUCAUGUCCAGAAGUAUCUGAACUCAGUCAGGUAUAUUGAGGAGCUACAGAAAUUUGUAGAGGAUGACAACUACAAAUUGUCACAAAAGAUUGAGCCAGGCACCAGCACACCACGAGCAAAUGCCUCCAAAGAGGAUCUGGCCAGUCAGGAGGCAUCGUCAUCCCCUCUCUGCGGCCGUAAAAGUACAGUAGCAGCUGAAGGAGCCAAAGUCGCAGCUACUCCACCCUCUCCCAGGAACCUACUGCCCCAUGGGCACAGAAAAUGCUACAGCCUGGGCUACAAGUCAGUUUUUUAUUUUUU